GACGAACGCUGGCGGCGUGCUUAACACAUGCAAGUCGAACGGAAAGGCCCUGCUUUUGUGGGGUGCUCGAGUGGCGAACGGGUGAGUAACACGUGAGUAACCUGCCCUUGACUUUGGGAUAACUUCAGGAAACUGGGGCUAAUACCAGAUAGGAGCUCCUGCUGCAUGGUGGGGGUUGGAAAGUUUCGGCGGUUGGGGAUGGACUCGCGGCUUAUCAGCUUGUUGGUGGGGUAGUGGCUUACCAAGGCUUUGACGGGUAGCCGGCCUGAGAGGGUGACCGGCCACAUUGGGACUGAGAUACGGCCCAGACUCCUACGGGAGGCAGCAGUGGGGAAUAUUGCACAACGGGCGGAAGCCUGAUGCAGCAACGCCGCGUGCGGGAUGACGGCCUUCGGGUUGUAAACCGCUUUCGCCUGUGACGAAGCGUGAGUGACGGUAAUGGGUAAAGAAGCACCGGCUAACUACGUG
rnacentral:rRNA from 1 species